UACUAAUUUGUUGUCUGCUAUGACUUUAGGUAUGGCUACAGUUUCACGACAGUAGUAACACAAAUGCCCAAGUUUUUAGCUUGGUUAGUUAGAAAAUUUUGUUCUUCUGAAGGCAUCAUACAAAAAAGAACUGUUCAGAAACUGUCAGAUCUAAUUGGUGAGUUGGAUGUUGUGGUCAAUUGUUCUGGACUAAGGGCUAAAGAGCUAGUUGACGACCAAGACAUUAAGCCUGUGAGAGGGCAUGUAGUGAUGGUAUGUUGAAACUGGUAGACUAAAU
rnacentral:sRNA from 1 species